AAGGACAUGUGGAGCGCUUAGAAGUGAGAAUGCCGGUGUGAGUAGCGAAAGACGGGUGAGAAUCCCGUCCACCGAUUGACUAAGGUUUCCAGAGGAAGGCUCGUCCGCUCUGGGUUAGUCGGGUCCUAAGCUGAGGCCGACAGGCGUAGGCGAUGGAUAACAGGUUGAUAUUCCUGUACCACCUAUAAUCGUUUUAAUCGAUGGGGGGACGCAGUAGGAUAGGCGAAGCGUGCGAUUGGAUUGCACGUCUAAGCAGUAAGGCUGAGUAUUAGGCAAAUCCGGUACUCGUUAAGGCUGAGCUGUGAUGGGGAGAAGACAUUGUGUCUUCGAGUCGUUGAUUUCACACUGCCGAGAAAAGCCUCUAGAUAGAAAAUAGGUGCCCGUACCGCAAACCGACACAGGUAGUCAAGAUGAGAAUUCUAAGGUGAGCGAGCGAACUCUCGUUAAGGAACUCGGCAAAAUGACCCCGUAACUUCGGGAGAAGGGGUGCUCUUUAGGGUUAACGCCCAGAAGAGCCGCAGUGAAUAGGCCCAAGCGACUGUUUAUCAAAAACACAGGUCUCUGCUAAACCGUAAGGUGAUGUAUAGGGGCUGACGCCUGCCCGGUGCUGGAAGGUUAAGAGGAGUGGUUAGCUUCUGCGAAGCUACGAAUCGAAGCCCCAGUAAACGGCGGCCGUAACUAUAACGGUCCUAAGGUAGCGAAAUUCCUUGUCGGGUAAGUUCCGACCCGCACGAAAGGCGUAACGAUUUGGGCACUGUCUCAACGAGAGACUCGGUGAAAUCAUAGUACCUGUGAAGAUGCAGGUUACCCGCGACAGGACGGAAAGACCCCGUGGAGCUUUACUGUAGCCUGAUAUUGAAAUUCGGCACAGCUUGUACAGGAUAGGUAGGAGCCUUUGAAACGUGAGCGCUAGCUUACGUGGAGGCGCUGGUGGGAUACUACCCUAGCUGUGUUGGCUUUCUAACCCGCACCACUUAUCGUGGUGGGAGACAGUGUCAGGCGGGCAGUUUGACUGGGGCGGUCGCCUCCUAAAAGG
rnacentral:rRNA from 1 species